rnacentral:rRNA from 1 species
CCUACGGGUGGCAGCAGUGGGGAAUAUUGCUCAAUGGAGGAAACCCUGAUGCAGCGACGCCGCGUGAGCGAUGAAGUAUCUCGGUAUGUAAAGCUCUAUCAGCAGGGAAGUAAAUGACGGUACCUGACUCAGAAGCCCCGUCUAACUACGUGCCAGCAGCCGCGGUAAUACGUAGGGGGCAAGCGUUAUCCGGAUUUAUUGGGUUUUAAGGGUGCGUAGGCUGUGAGGUAAGUCAGCGGGGAAAUUCCCCCGCUAAACGGGGUGAAGUGCCCUUGAUACUGCCUGGCUGGAAUGCGGAUGACGUGGGAGGAAUGUGUGGUGUAGCGGUGAAAUGCAUAGAUAUCACACAGAACACCGAUUGCGAAGGCAUCUCACGAAUCCGCGAUUGACGCUGAUGCACGAAAGCGUGGGGAUCAAACAGGAUUAGAUACCCCGGUAGUC